AGAAUCAACGCUGGCGGCGUGCCUAACACAUGCAAGUCGAACGAGAAAGUGGAGCAAUCCAUGAGUAAAGUGGCGCACGGGUGAGUAACACGUGACUAACCUACCCUCGAGUGGGGAAUAACUUCGGGAAACCGAGGCUAAUACCGCAUAAAACCUAAGGGUCAAAGGAGCAAUCCGUUUGAGGAGGGGGUCGCGGCAGAUUAGUUAGUUGGCGGGGUAAUGGCCCACCAAGACGAUGAUCUGUAUCCGGCCUGAGAGGGCGCACGGACACACUGGAACUGAAACACGGUCCAGACUCCUACGGGAGGCAGCAGUGGGGAAUUUUGCGCAAUGGGGGAAACCCUGACGCAGCAACGCCGCGUGGAGGAUGAAAUCCCUUGGGAUGUAAACUCCUUUCGAUCGGGAAGAUAAUGACGGUACGGAAGAAGAAGCCCGGCUAACUUCGUGCCAGCAGCCGC
rnacentral:rRNA from 1 species